CGUCGCGCUCGCGGAUGGGCGUCGCGUGGUCGCGGUCAUCGAUCGCGGAUGGUUCCGCUUCGUCUGCGACGC
rnacentral:tRNA from 1 species